GACUGUAGAGUGUCGCCGGCGGGCUUGGAGACGGUGAAGGAGUCGGUGUGGCGACUGGAUUCGGAGCCACAGAGAGGGGGCACAGUCUGGCUCUACACCACACGGAGGACAAAGUGCUUCUGCAAAAAGCCCCCAACCAUUGGAGAAUGUUCAGCCUCAGCGCAACAAAAGCCAGUUCUUAUGCACCACCAGUGCCAGCAACAUGCUGAAGAAUAUGGAUAAUAAUCACAAAAGCCAGCUGUCUACUGUUUGAUAUUUCGCAAUCACAAACGAUGACCAAUGCUCAAGGCAGAACAAGAAUGCAUCAGUCAAACAGGAAGUCUCAUCUGAACACAGGACGUCUAGAGAUACACUGCAAGCGAAAAGAGUACUGCACUGAAAGAAACAGGUGUUACAAAGGCACUGAUGGAGAUUGUACUGUAUAUUGUGGGGGCACGCCAAGUCAAGGACCAAAAAUAAAAUAUUUUGUGACAUUGUCGGUUCAUUAUCACACAUAUACAGUACCAAAUAUCAUAUUAUUGUUUAUGCAAUAAAUUGUACACGCACGCGUGCACACACACUCUUGUUAAAGAGAAUAUCUAUUUUUUCUUCUCUGUGUAGCUCUCAUAAAGCACAUGGUUGUCACGUUCCUGACCUAUUUUCUGUUAGUUUGUUAUAUGUGUUAGUUGGUCAGGACGUGAGUUUGGGUGGGCAUUCUAUGUUUUCUGUUUCUGUGUUGGUUUAUUGGGUUGCCUGGUAUGGCUCUUAAUUAGAGGCAGGUGUUUGGCGUUCCUCUAAUUAAGAGUCAUAUUUAGGUAGGCGUUGUCACAGUGUUCGUUGUGGGUGAUUGUCUUCCGUGUCUGUGUAAUUGUUUGCACCAUACGGGACUGUUACGGUUUGUUCGGUUUGUGUAGUCUAAUUGUCCUAUUCGUGCGUUCUUCUUGUUUUAUGUAAGUUCGUCGUAUAGGUCUGUCUACACCGUUUGUUGUUUUGUUAGUUUAGUUAAGUUCGUGUUUUCUUUAAUAAAUUAUGUGUUCAAACUCCACUGCGCCUUGGUUCGAUCAAUACUCCUCCUUUUCGGGCGAAGAGGAGGAGGACCGCCGUUACAAUGGUUUUCCACUCCUAACAACAAAACCAACUGAAGGACAAACUGCUGCAUUGAUCAACCUGAACUCCGUGCCCUUGUAACGCCGAUACAUUUUCUUGGCCCACAGUGAAUUUCCUCCAAACAAAUUGUUAUUUUGUUCUAUUAG